UACAGAGGGUGCGAGCGUAAUCGGAAUUACUGGGCGUAAAGCGCGCGUAGGCGGCUUUGCAAGCGGGUGUGAAAUCCCCAGGCUUAACCUGGGAACUGCAUUCGAGACUGCAUUGCUAGAGUAUGGGGAGAGGGAAGUGGAAUUUCCGGUGUAGCGGUGAAAUGCGUAGAUAUCGGAAGGAACAUCAGUGGCGAAAGCGAACUUCCUGGACCAAUACUGACGCUGAGGAGCGAAAGCCAGGGGAGCAAACGGGG
rnacentral:rRNA from 1 species